GACGAACGCUGGCGGCGUGCUUAACACAUGCAAGUCGAACGGAAAGGCCCUGCUUGCAGGGUACUCGAGUGGCGAGCGGGUGAGUAACACGUGGGUGAUCUGCCCUGCACUUCGGGAUAAGCCUGGGAAACUGGGUCUAAUACCGGAUAGGAGCCAUUUUUAGUGUGAUGGUUGGAAAGUUUUUUCGGUGUAGGAUGAGCUCGCGGCCUAUCAGCUUGUUGGUGGGGUAAUGGCCUACCAAGGCGGCGACGGGUAGCCGGCCUGAGAGGGUGGACGGCCACAUUGGGACUGAGAUACGGCCCAGACUCCUACGGGAGGCAGCAGUGGGGAAUAUUGCACAAUGGGCGCAAGCCGGAUGCAGCGACGCCGCGGGGGGGAGGACGGCCUUCGGGUUGUAAACGCCUUUCGCUAGGGACGAAGCUUUUUGUGACGGUACCUAGAGAAGAAGCACCGGCUAACUACGUG
rnacentral:rRNA from 1 species